AACGAACGCUGGCGGCAGGCUUAACACAUGCAAGUCGAACGGGCGUAGCAAUACGUCAGUGGCAGACGGGUGAGUAACACGUGGGAACCUUCCUAGGGGUACGGAACAACUCAGGGAAACUUGAGCUAAUACCGUAUACGUCCGAGAGGAGAAAGAUUUAUCGCCCUUAGACGGGCCCGCGUCGGAUUAGGUAGUUGGUGGGGUAACGGCCUACCAAGCCUACGAUCCGUAGCUGAUCUGAGAGGAUGAUCAGCCACACUGGGACUGAGACACGGCCCAGACUCCUACGGGAGGCAGCAGUGGGGAAUCUUGGACAAUGGGCGCAAGCCUGAUCCAGCCAUGCCGCGUGAGUGAAGAAGGCCUUAGGGUUGUAAAGCUCUUUUGGCAGGGACGAUAAUGACGGUACCUGCAGAAUAAGCCCCGGCAAACUUCGUGCCAGCCGCCGCAGUAAUAC
rnacentral:rRNA from 1 species